GGAAAAAAAACUGACGGGAAACACUAUCCUCGAUCACCAGUCACCGCUUCCGGUGUCGCCGCCACCUCUUUGUCUCGCUCUGGUCCGGCACCACUAGUUGUCGUGUUUUUUCUCUUUCCUUUCACUUCUGAGGAUAUAUUUGUAUAUAUAUCCACAUUUUUCUGCUAUUGAAUGACAGUCGACUCGGAAAUAUUUAUGCCUAAAAGUAAAGCGCCGAAAAUGGAUGACUUGGACUACAUCCCAGUAGACCUGAGCCCAGAGGAGCGCUCAGAGCUGGAGGACAUCCGCAGGAGGAAGGGGAUCCUGCUGCAGGAGAUCCAGAGGCUCCGCGAGGAACUCAGGGAGGCCAUUUUGGAGGUGGAGGGCCUGGAGGCCAGCACAGAGGGAAGUAAAACCCUUCAGAAAAAUAGGCACGUUGCAAUGGGAAGGAAGAAGUUCAACAUGGAUCCUAAAAAGGGCAUUGUGUUUCUCGUGGAGAACGAGCUGCUCAGACACACUCCGGAAGACAUCGCUCAGUUCCUCUACAAAGGAGAGGGCCUCAACAAGACGGCGAUAGGCGAUUACCUCGGAGAAAGGGACGACUUCAACAUCAAAGUCCUCCAGGCUUUCGUUGACCUGCACGAGUUCACAGAUCUCAACCUCGUCCAGGCCCUCAGACAAUUUUUGUGGAGUUUCCGUCUGCCCGGUGAGGCCCAGAAGAUUGACAGAAUGAUGGAGGCCUUUGCUCAGCGAUACUGUCGCUGUAACCCCGGCGUCUUCCAGAGCACUGACACAUGUUACGUGCUGUCAUUCGCCAUCAUCAUGCUCAACACCAGCCUGCACAACCCCAACGUGAGGGACAAACCGGGCUUGGACCGCUUCAUCUCCAUGAACCGAGGCAUCAACGACGGAGGGGACCUGCCCGAGGACCUCCUGCGAAACCUUUAUGAAAGUAUUAAAAAUGAGCCCUUCAAGAUCCCAGAGGAUGACGGCAACGACCUCACACACACCUUCUUUAACCCCGACAGAGAGGGCUGGCUGCUCAAACUCGGAGGGGGACGAGUGAAAACCUGGAAAAGGCGAUGGUUCAUCCUCACAGACAACUGCCUGUACUACUUUGAAUAUACAACAGACAAAGAACCUCGAGGCAUCAUCCCCUUGGAGAACCUUAGCAUCCGCGAAGUGGAGGACCCACGCAAACCGAACUGCUUCGAAUUGUACAUCCCCAACAACCGCGGUCAGCUGAUCAAGGCCUGCAAGACAGAGGCGGACGGCCGGGUGGUGGAGGGAAACCACAUGGUGUACCGCAUCUCCGCCCCCACGCCCGAGGAGAAGGACGAGUGGAUCCACAGCAUCAAAUCUGCGGUCAGCGUGGACCCUUUCUACGAAAUGCUCGCCGCCAGAAAGAAACGUAUAUCGCUGAAGAAGAAAGAAGAGCAGCCCUAGAGUUUUACCUCCGUCCUCUGUCCUCCUCCUACCCUCAUCUCCCUCCCUCCACAAACAUUAGAGCACCAUUACAUCAACGGUGACAGGGUUCAAAGGCGCGCCUCACCACACCCCCGUGCAGCUCCACGUCCGAGUCGGACCACGAGAUGACGUCGCCGGUCAGGCGGCCGCCGCACGACACCAGACCCUGGAUGUCGGCUCCGCUCAGGACCGAAGACCACAUUUGCACAUCGGCUAGCUCCCCCACGAACGACUGCGUGGCGUCAAAGCGGCCUCCCAGAGUGUCCUGCAACCAGUGGAGGGAAGAUGAACACCCCUCCUGCUCUGACGGGAUGCCAGGGGGCAAGGUCGAUCCCAGAACCCCGCAGGUCGCCGUCCUGGUAGGCCUCCCAGUGUCCGUCCCGCGUGGACCACGUUACGCACACGUGGUGCCAUUUCCCAUCACUCAGCGUCACAGGCAGAGACACAGCCUACAAAAAAGCAAAGGUUUUCGCCCACGUGGCUAUUACCAUCAAAAUGUCCCACAAUGCAUCACUCUACAUUAGUCCGUGUCACGUCACGUCGUCCCUCACCUUGUCGUCAAUCAGCAGCUCCACGGGGUUCCCUCCCCACUGGAUCAGCACAAGCUCGUUGGCCUGGCCCGGCGCAGAGUAGGAGAAGGGUGUCCCUAUGGCGGACCCGACGCCGGCUUUGAGCCGCAGACACAGAGUCAGCGCGAAGAUCUCCUGAGGUAGCGUCCUUUUCAUGCGCGCGUACAUGUAGGUGCUCCGCAUUGGGAAAUUGAGCUGGAAGGUGUCCGGGUUGUUCUUUCUCUUAGAACCUGUUGUUCAAAAAGCCAACAUGUGAAUUUUGUGUGCAGUGGUGGGAAGUAACAAAGUGCAUUUACUUUGUAUUACUAUAGAUUAUUCGGGUAUCUGUACUUGUGUAACUAUUUUCAGACAACUUUAUACUUUUAGUCCUUACAUUUGAAAACAGACAAUACAGCGUUCCCUCGCAUAUUGGGCAUCUGCGAAUUGACUUAUGUGUAGCUUCCUUUUUGGAAGUGAUCUUCCGUAAUUCACAGUUCACAGGCCAAAGAAAUAAAAUUAUUGUUUUUCCCGCCAUUUUGUGGUAUCUUGGUACCAAGGAACUAUGUUGAAGUGAGUUGAGGACCUUCAUUUAGACAAAAGUAGUGCUUUGCUGCCAUCUUGAUUUCAAGGAACUACUAUGUUGAAGUGAUGUGAGCUUUUUUAUAGGAGUAUUAGUGUUUUUACUAAAGUACAGAGUGUGAGUACUUUUGCCACCUUUGUGUACCUGUCAGUUCAAGCUGGUUGAGCAUGGUCUCCAGUUUGUCGCCGUGGUAUCCUCCAUGCGAUGGGUAACUGUGACUGUCUGCUUCGUUGUUCUCGUGACCAGCGGGGUCACCACCAUCGUGGCUUCCCUCUCCGUGAUGGCUUCUGUCACUGUGCUCGUCAAAGUUAUCGGUGCGGUUGCCGCCGCGGUCGCUGCCGUCAUCCGUGUGGUCGUUCAGGUGUUGGUGGUCGUGCGGAUGCAGCUGCUCCUCCAGAGUCUCAAUCUUCCUCUGCAGAAGCUCCCUCAGGGAGCUGGAGUAGGUCAGGGACGAGUUCCUCUUCUGCUCAGGGAUUAGUAGACACGGUGGAUUGAGUGGUUAGCACCACUUGGCAUGUGCCAAGAUUGUCGUUAAUUUUAAUUUGUGUUCAACACAAGGAUUUUCUGUGUGAAGUUUGCAUGUUCUCUUUAUCCCAAAACAUUUUGUCAAAUAGUGUCGUCCACUUUAAUUCAAGUACAGCUCAAUAAAUGAGAAUAUUGUGGAAAACUUAAUUUAUUCCAGUACGGUAGUUCAAUUCCAAAAGUGAAACUCAUAUAUAGUAGUUUCACUACACACAGAGGGAAAUAUCUCCUGAAUUUAUUUUUUUCAUAAUGAUGAUGAUUAUGGUUUACAAUAACCUCAAAUUCACCAACUUAAGAAAUCAGAAAAUUGCAUGACACAUUCAAAAUUAUUUUUUAUAUAAACAUUAGGUAGGAAUUGGCCUGAAAAGUAUUUUCCUGUGUAUUUAGUGAAUGUGUUUCAUAUGGCGGGAUGGGAAUUAAUAAUGAAUCUAUUGAUUCCGAUUAUAUUACCGAUACUGCUUGAGCCGAUUCUCUUACCGAUUGUCAUUGUUUGAACAAAUUAAAUAAUACAAAUGAUAUAUGAUAUUGAGGCAAUUAUCACUAUAUACUGGAGGUGCAACGAGUAAUCGACAACUCAUCGAUUAUCUAAUUAAUCUAAUUAUUUUGAUAAUCGAUUAAUCAUUUAGACUUCAUAGACUUAAACUUAAAAUUGCUCAAAUCUUUGGAAUUUCGGGAAUUUCAGCCUCUCACUAGUAAAUAUUCUCUGAUUUCUGUAGUCCUCCAUGAAAGCAGACUGAUAAUCUUUGUGUUGAAUCAAAAUAAGACAUUUCCAAACAUCUGCUUUUACUUUGGAAAACAAUGACCAACAUUUUUGCCUAUUUUCUGACAUGUUACGGACCAAACCAGUAACUGAAUCAUAAUCAAUUAUGUUUGUGCAUUUUCUGCACUGUUACUUUGAAAUAAUGUCCUGUUUUUAAAUUAAGGGAUGGAAAUUUAAAUAUUGCUUUAAAGUCUGAGUCAAUUAAUUAAUCAAUCAAUCUUUAAUCAGUCGAUUAAUCAAAACAUUUUUUGACACAUUAAUUAAUUAUUGCAAUAAUCGUUUGUUGCAGCCUUACUAUAUAUAUUUCACUACAUAUUUCAUUAUAUGAUGAGAUAACAAAAGAUAAGUUCUUCAUUUUGAAAGUAUUCCCCAUUUGACACAAUUCAAUCUUUGCAAGUGAAGCAAAUAACCCAGAUAUGUUUUCAUGGGAAAUAUAGCUAAACUUUAGAGUGCUUCUAACCUGACGCCAUGUUGGGAAUGUUCAGAAUCAAAAUACAUCUUUCAUUUGACCUCAUCACUCUUUUGACAUUUGACAUUCACAUUUUGUCUCUAAGCAAACCUAAUCUACAGGAUUCCUAUUCCUAGUCAUGUCAAAUCAAGCACUUGUUGCUAGGCAAAGUUCACAGGGCUCAAUCAUAACUGCUCUCUAGACUAAUGAAAAUUUUGAGAUGGGCUCCAGCUGACCUGUGACCCUAAUGAGGAAAAGCGCUUUCGAAGAUGGAUGGAUAGAUAGAGGAUAAUGAAUGGUUGACUAUUUCUGUAUUUGUCAGCCCUGUAAUUGACAGGUGAUCAGUCUAGGCUGUGCUCCAACUCCCACUGGUCUAGUAAACGGCGGGUUUUCUUGCUUCAUUGUGGACCUGGAUGUGCCUGUCAGGUAAUCCAGGCUUUGUGCAUAUGCUUGGCCCAAUUACCUCAGUCAAGGCAGAUCACCGUAAUUACUACUGAUCUUAGACCCAUGUCCCCCUUCCUCCUUCAUCACUGCACGGCUCCUGACAUCUGUCUUAGAUCACGAUUCAGCAGUGUUUCUGAGAACACACGUACAUCAUGACGUCCCGCGUUCAGUGGUGGACAGUAACAAUGUACAAGUUAUUCGUUAAUGAGAGAGAGAUUUUUCAAGUAUCUGUACUGUACACUUCAAUUUUUUUUUCCUGCCGACUUUUUACUUUUACUCCCUACAUUUGAAGAUUUAUAUCUGUACUUUCUACUUCUUACUAUACUAAACUACGAUUGUUAAUUUUUUUUCCCCCAACCUCCGCAGAUGAUGGCACAACAUAAAAAAGACAUAAAUAGAGAGAGAUAGUCAACCGCAGUUAAGAUCUUGGGGUCACUCAUAGGGUGGAAAAAACAUGAACCGUGGAGCAUUAACGACAAAGGCAACAGAUUCAAAGAAACUAAAUAUACCCCGUCCACGGCCUUAUUUAAGAGAAUGUAGAACGUUAGCAUAACUAUGGAAACACGUUUGAUGAUAAUAAUUUUUUCAUUGUGCCAAGUUUUGAAAACGGGUACAGUGAACCCCUGCCUAUUCGUGGUUUUGCUUUUGCAAAUUUGCUGAUUUUUGGGGGACCCUAUCCAUUACUCACGUUUGGAGUUUUUUGUCCUUAGGCCAAACCAAUGAAAGUAUUACUUUGGUGGCAUCUUGGUGCCAAGGAACUAUGUUGAAGUGAGUUGAGGAGUGCUAAAAAGUAGUGCUUUGCCGCUGUUUAGGUGCCAAGGAACCACAAAACCCUAUUUCAAUAAAGUUGGGACAUUGUGUAAAAUGUAAACAAAAACAGAAUACAAUGAUUUACAAAUCAUUUUCAACCUAUAUUCAAUACGUUACACUACACAUUUAAUGUUGAAACUGAUGAUGAUUGUGUUUUUUGCAAAUAUUCUUUCAUUUAAAAUUUUAUGCCUACAACACUUACCGAAAAAGCUGGGACGGGGGCAGCAAAAGACUAGGGAAACUUGAGGAAUGCUAAAAAAAACACCUGUUUGGAACAUACCACAUGAUAGAGUAUAGAAGGAGCAUUCCCGAAAGGCUCAGUUGUUCACAAGCAAGGAUGGGGUGAGGUUCACCAUUUUGUGAACAACUGCGUAGGCAAAUAUUCCAACAGUUUAGGAGCAAUGCAUUAAAAACUAGCCUCAUUGUGUGAAGUAUUUUUCCACUACAAAGGCAAGUUAAAACUCUACCAUGCAAAGCGCAAACCAUGCUGUAUAUCAAGAACACUCAUAAAUUCAGCCAGCUUCUCUGGGCCCGAGCUCCUAUGAGAUGGACCGACGCAAAGUAGAAAAGUGUGCUGUCGUCUGACAAGUCCACAUUUUAAAUUGUUUUUGUAAAUCAUGGACCUCAUGUCCUCCAGGCCAAAGAGGAAAGGACCACCCGGAUUGUUAUCAGUACGAAGUUUAAAAAAAACAAAAAAAAACAGCAUCUGUAAUGGUAUUGGGGUGUUAGUGCUCAUGUCAUGGGUAACUCGCACAUCUGUUAAGGCACCAAUAAUUCUGAAAGGUACAUACAGGUUUUGGAUCAACAUAGCCUGCCAUCCAAGCAAUGUCUUUUUCAGGGACGUCCCUGCUUAUUUCAGCAAGACCAUGCGAAGCCACAUUCUGCACGUGUUAUGACUUUGACUUUGCAGUAAAAGACUGUGAGUACUAGACUGGCCUGCCAGCAGUCCAGAUCUGCCUCCCAUUGAAAAUAUGUGGCGCAUUAUGAAGAGCAAAAUACGACAACGGAGACCCCAGCCUGUUGAGCAACUGAAGUUGUACCUCAAGCAAGAAUGGAAAAGAAGUCCACCUACAAAAACUCAACAAUUUGUGUCCUCAGUUCCCAAAAUCUUAUUUGAGUCUUUUUAAAAGGAAGAGUGAUGUAACAAGGUGGUAAACAUGUCCCUGUCCCAGCAUUAUUAGAAUGUGUCGCAGCCAUCAAAUUAAAAAUGACUGAAAACAAUAAGGUUCAUCAGUUUGAACAUUAAAUAUCUUGUCUUUGUAGUGUGUUCAAUUAAGUAUCGGUUGAAAAGGAUUUACAAAUCAUUAUAUCAUCAUUUUACACAACGUCCCAACUUCAUUGUAAUUGGGGUUUGUAUGUUGAGGUGAGCGGUCUCACAGUUCUGAGGACCCGGGUUGAAAUUCGGCCUCAGUUGUGUGGAGUUUGCACGUUAUUCCCCCUGUGUCUGCGUGGGUUUUGUCUGGGUAGUCUGAGGUAGUCCUCCCACAUUCCAAAAACAUGAAUGGUAGGUUAAUUGAAGACUCUAAAUUGCCGUUAGGUGUGAAUGUUAGUGUGAAGGAUUGUUUGUUUAUAUGUGCCCUGCAAUUGGCUGGCGGCCAGUUCAGGGUGUACCCGACUCUCGCCUAGAGUCAGCAUGCCUAGGGGCCAGCAUGCCCGUGACCCUCACUAGGGUCACGGGCAUGGAUGGAUGUUGAGGUGAAUUGAGGAGCUUCAUUUCGACAAAUGCAGUGCUUUGCUGCCAUCUUAUAGCAUUUAUAGAUAGGACUGUCCCUAUCCAACACUUAUAGCGCUUGAAACCCCAAAAUUCAUCCAUUCAUGCAUUUUCCAUACCGCUUAUCCUCACGAGGGUCACGGGCGUGCUGGAGCCCAUCCCAGCUGACCCUGGACCAGAGGCGGGAGUCACUCUGAACUGGUCGACAGGCAAUCGCAGGGCAACCAAAAUUCAUUGAAAAAAAAAUUCCUUGAUAGUAUAAACAGUAUAGAAGAAAGAUGGACUUUUGUACUUAAGUAUACUGUGUGUUACAGUAUGUACUUUUUUGCUUGUAUUUUUCAAGAGUUGAAUUGGUAUUUGUAAUUUUACCAGUGUUUAUUUACACAAUUAUCUGUACUUCUCCUUAAGUACAGAUGGUCUGCCCAUGAUGCAACUCACCUGCAGGUUGUUCAACCUCUCCUUUAGCGCCUGCAGCAUUCUCUCCAUCUGCUCCGGCGAGGACGUCACGUCCCCUAAGCUCACGUGUUUAACGACGUCCUUCUCCUGUUGCUUUGCGCUGUGAGCUCCAUCAGAGUGCAGUGAGUCCGGUAUAAGGUUUACGUGUUGGUUGUCGUGGUAGGCGUGGUCCGAGGGCGCGCUCAGGCGUUCGUCGUGAGGCGACCUGGCGAAGCCCUCGCAAAGAGCGAGCUUGGCGGUCAGCUCCCUGAUCGUCUCCCUCUGGUCUAGGAUGGUCUCUUUCUGUCGCACGAGGCUCUCGCGGAGGUGCAGGAUGGUAUUCUUGGCCUCGUCGCUCGUUCCCAUCCAGCCGGUGGGGGGCUCGCUUUGAUGGUGGGCCGCUCCCGCUGCUCCCGGCCCCGCUGCGGGGAAGCAGGCGGGGUCCGCGUCCGCCGGAAUAGGGGUGCACACGAAGCGUGGCUGUGCGGCGUGGAAGUCAGAAGUGGAAGACGUAGGAAGGAGGAGUAGAGAGAGGAGGACGAAGAAUGGACGACAAAUCUUCCUCAUCAUCUCCAUCCUAAUGACCUACUACUAAUCAUUCGAGUCAAAAGUCCAUUGUCAGCGUAGAGGAUUGAUUUCUAGUUCCUUCACUGAUUUUUCGGCUGAAUCUGCAAAACAAACGCACCGUUGUAUGUGAGUGUAGUGAAAAAAACGGAGCAGUUUAAAUAUUCUAUUGCCCUCGCAUGUGGGCAAGGGGAGCCACGGUCACCCAUGCACUUGCAGCCGUUUUACUGAACAGGACAAACAGUCAAACACACUAAUACGAAAUAAGAACACUCGCAAGGAGCCUGGCGCCAAGAUGCUCACACUGAAAUAACCGACCAAUCCGACUCCCAACUCUUGAUGUCGCUCACUAGGCCACGCCCCUAAAAGGGGCCAUCCAACACACCAGUACUACAGUACUUAUAGCAAUUACACUUUAUAAAAACACUUUAUUUCUUUGCAUUCUCUUAUAUGUUUUGUUUUGAUACUUGAUCUAUUUUUCUACAAAAACUUCAUUUUUGGAGCUGGAAUGGAAUUUUGGGAUUUCAAUUCAUUUCAAUGGGGAAAAUGGAUUUGAUAAUCAAGUCAAGGUACCACUGUACUAAGAUCACAUUGAGGCUGAUAGAGCUAUCUGAGUUUUCAAGUUGCAGUGUGAGGUUCCUCGCUCCUCCAUUCGAGAGGAAACAAAUUGUCGUCUUGAAGCUCUGGUUGUUUGGGUGUUUGCUUUCAACCCAAAAGGUCCAAUACACACAGAUAAUCUGGCCUGUUUUAAACCUAAAUUCGGAUCAAAGUCAGCAAAAGCCCAAACAUCUGAUGUCUCUGGAUGUCCUACCCAAGGAAAUUUCAAAGCAUCUGCUGCCUGUUCACUGGAUUCCUGAAACCCACCAGAACAAUUCAACACUCUUCCAAUAGAUGCCAGAAGGUACAUAAUGGACCUUUGUAUCCACUUUUUGUAACAGUUUUCUAAAAUAAAAUAUGUGCCUUGGCUCAAUAAAGAUCGGGAAACACUGCAUUAAGGGACAGACGAUUGAUUGAUUGAUUGAUUCCACAUUAGCACUGCAACAAUCGAUUAAUCAACAACUACCGGUAAUCGAUUAUCAAAUUAAUCGACAAAUAGAUUUGGAUUGAUUUAUCAUUUAGAGAUCUAGUUUAACUAAAAAUUGUCCAAAUCCUCAUAAUUUCAGCCUCUCAACAUUACCUACUCUCUGUAGUCCUCCAUGAAAUCAGACUGAUUAUCUUUGUGUUUAAUCGAAAUAAGACAUUUACAAACA